UACGUAGGGUGCGAGCGUUGUCCGGAAUUAUUGGGCGUAAAGAGCUCGUAGGCGGCCUGUCGCGUCGGUUGUGAAAGCCCGGGGCUUAACCCCGGGUCUGCAUUCGAUACGGGCAGGCUAGAGUGUGGUAGGGGAGAUCGGAAUUCCUGGUGUAGCGGUGAAAUGCGCAGAUAUCAGGAGGAACACCGGUGGCGAAGGCGGAUCUCUGGGCCAUUACUGACGCUGAGGAGCGAAAGCGUGGGGAGCGAACAGG
rnacentral:rRNA from 1 species